rnacentral:rRNA from 1 species
UACGUAGGGGGCAAGCGUUAUCCGGAUUUACUGGGUGUAAAGGGCGUGUAGGCGGGACUGCAAGUCAGAUGUGAAACCCAUGGGCUCAACCCAUGGCCUGCAUUUGAAACUGUAGUUCUUGAGUGAUGGAGAGGCAGGCGGAAUUCCGUGUGUAGCGGUGAAAUGCGUAGACAUACGGAGGAACACCAGUGGCGAAGGCGGCCUGCUGGACAUUAACUGACGCUGAGGCGCGAAAGCGUGGGGAGCAAACAGG